UACAUGCAUCUGUUCAGUAGAGGUGGACCACAGGACAGGAGUUGGGGAAUCACUGCUGUACUCUUCAUUUGACACUGGGGACGAGAUGCACAGAUAAAAAAAGGCACCAACAGAAAUCCCCUAGCAGCAGAUUGGCAGGAUUCCAGGUUCCUGUGAGAGCUUGACAACAGGAGUAGCUGCACCUCGAGUCACAGUUGAUGAGCAUGCAAACUUGGGCCAGUGUGACUAAGGGUCCAACUGAGUUUUAAUGGAGGAAAUAACCGCUAGUGUAGCUCCAUAUACCACAGACAGAAAGAGAGACGGAGAGAGAGAGACGGAGAGAGAGAGACGGAGAGAGAGAGACGGAGAGAGAGAGACGGAGAGAGAGAGACGGAGAGAGAGAGACGGAGAGAGAGACGGAGAGCAUAAAUUUAAACAUAAAUAAAGGUAAUCUAUCACCUGAACUCAGCUAACUCAGCAAGCAUUGCUCUUUUAUAUCUCCAAAUAAAACUGCUUAUGUAUCACCACUCUGAGUUUUGUCAAGUGAUUAGUUUGCGUUCUAAAAAUGAAUGCAUUAAAGUUAUCCGAUUAACUGCAUGGGUUAACAUGUUGGUGUUGACAGCUUGAAAAAUGAAUGAUAAAUAAAUCUAGAAUCAACAUAUCACUUUGUAAAUGUUGUAUUUAAAAUAAAUAUAAACAUUUCC